rnacentral:rRNA from 1 species
GAUGAACGCUGGCGGCGUGCCUAAUACAUGCAAGUCGUGCGAACAGACGAGGAGCUUGCUCCUCUGACGUUAGCGGCGGACGGGUGAGUAACACGUGGAUAACCUACCUAUAAGACUGGGAUAACUUCGGGAAACCGGAGCUAAUACCGGAUAAUAUAUUGAACCGCAUGGUUCAAUAGUGAAAGACGGCUUUGCUGUCACUUAUAGAUGGAUCCGCGCCGCAUUAGCUAGUUGGUAAGGUAACGGCUUACCAAGGCAACGAUGCGUAGCCGACCUGAGAGGGGGAUCGGCCACACUGGAACUGAGACACGGUCCAGACUCCUACGGGAGGCAGCAGUAGGGAAUCUUCCGCAAUGGGCGAAAGCCUGACGGAGCAACGCCGCGUGAGUGAUGAAGGUCUUCGGAUCGUAAAACUCUGUUAUUAGGGAAGAACAAAUGUGUAAGUAACUAUGCACGUCUUGACGGUACCUAAUCAGAAAGCCACGGCUAACUACGUG